rnacentral:tRNA from 1 species
UCCCUAGUAGCUCAAAAAGUAAAGAGUCUGCCUGCAAUGCAGGAGACCCAGGUUCAAACCCUGGGUCAGGAA